UUAAGGCUGAGCUGUGAUGGGGAGAAGACAUUGUGUCUUCGAGUCGUUGAUUUCACACUGCCGAGAAAAGCCUCUAGAUAGAAAAUAGGUGCCCGUACCGCAAACCGACACAGGUAGUCAAGAUGAGAAUUCUAAGGUGAGCGAGCGAACUCUCGUUAAGGAACUCGGCAAAAUGACCCCGUAACUUCGGGAGAAGGGGUGCUCUUUAGGGUUAACGCCCAGAAGAGCCGCAGUGAAUAGGCCCAAGCGACUGUUUAUCAAAAACACAGGUCUCUGCUAAACCGUAAGGUGAUGUAUAGGGGCUGACGCCUGCCCGGUGCUGGAAGGUUAAGAGGAGUGGUUAGCUUCUGCGAAGCUACGAAUCGAAGCCCCAGUAAACGGCGGCCGUAACUAUAACGGUCCUAAGGUAGCGAAAUUCCUUGUCGGGUAAGUUCCGACCCGCACGAAAGGCGUAACGAUUUGGGCACUGUCUCAACGAGAGACUCGGUGAAAUCAUAGUACCUGUGAAGAUGCAGGUUACCCGCGACAGGACGGAAAGACCCCGUGGAGCUUUACUGUAGCCUGAUAUUGAAAUUCGGCACAGCUUGUACAGGAUAGGUAGGAGCCUUUGAAACGUGAGCGCUAGCUUACGUGGAGGCGCUGGUGGGAUACUACCCUAGCUGUGUUGGCUUUCUAACCCGCACCACUUAUCGUGGUGGGAGACAGUGUCAGGCGGGCAGUUUGACUGGGGCGGUCGCCUCCUAAAAGGUAACGGAGGCGCUCAAAGGUUCCCUCAGAAUGGUUGGAAAUCAUUCAUAGAGUGUAAAGGCAUAAGGGAGCUUGACUGCGAGACCUACAAGUCGAGCAGGGUCGAAAGACGGACUUAGUGAUCCGGUGGUUCCGCAUGGAAGGGCCAUCGCUCAACGGAUAAAAGCUACCCCGGGGAUAACAGGCUUAUCUCCCCCAAGAGUUCACAUCGACGGGGAGGUUUGGCACCUCGAUGUCGGCUCAUCGCAUCCUGGGGCUGUAGUCGGUCCCAAGGGUUGGGCUGUUCGCCCAUUAAAGCGGUACGCGAGCUGGGUUCAGAACGUCGUGAGACAGUUCGGUCCCUAUCCGUCGUGGGCGUAGGAAAUUUGAGAGGAGCUGUCCUUAGUACGAGAGGACCGGGAUGGACAUACCUCUGGUGUACCAGUUGUCGUGCCAACGGCAUAGCUGGGUAGCUAUGUGUGGACGGGAUAAGUGCUGAAAGCAUCUAAGCAUGAAGCCCCCCUCAAGAUGAGAUUUCCCAACUUCGGUUAUAAGAUCCCUCAAAGAUGAUGAGGUUAAUAGGUUCGAGGUGGAAGCAUGGUGACAUGUGGAGCUGACGAAUACUAAUCGAUCGAAGACUUAAUCAA
rnacentral:rRNA from 3 species